GACAGUAUGGCCGAGUGGUUAAGGCGGUAGCUUUAGGCGCUAUUGAACGAAAGUUCGCGUGGGUUCGAAUCCCAUUGCUGUCA